UACGAAGGGGGCUAGCGUUGCUCGGAAUCACUGGGCGUAAAGCGCACGUAGGCGGACUCUUAAGUCGGUGGUGAAAUCCUGGAGCUCAACUCCAGAACUGCCUUCGAUACUGAGAGUCUUGAGUCCGGGAGAGGUGAGUGGAACUGCGAGUGUAGAGGUGAAAUUCGUAGAUAUUCGCAAGAACACCAGUGGCGAAGGCGGCCAACUGGUCCGGAACUGACGCUGAGGUGCGAAAGCGUGGGGAGCAAACAGG
rnacentral:rRNA from 1 species